rnacentral:rRNA from 1 species
GAUUUGUGUACAAUGGGUGAAAUCCUGAUCCAGCAAUGCCGCGUGUAGGAUGAAGGCCUUCGGGUUUUAAACUGUUUGUGUACGGAACGAAAUGCUUUGGGUUAACACACUGACAUCACAAAGGUACAGCACGACAAAACCCAGGGUAACAUCGUGGAAGCAGCCGCGGUAAAACGUAGGUUGCAAGCGUUAAUCGCAAUUACUGGGCGUAAAGCGUGCGCAGACUGUUUUGUAAGACAGAGGUGAAAUCCCCGGGCUCAACCUGGGAACUGACUUUGAGACUGCAAGGCUAGAGUACGGCAGAGGGGGGUGGAAUUCCGCGUGUAGCAGUGAAAUGCGUAGAUAUGCGGAGGAACACCGAUGGCGAAGGCAACCCCCUGGGCCUGUACUGACGCUCAUGCACGAAAGCGUGGGGAGCAAACA